rnacentral:rRNA from 1 species
UGGCAGACGGGUGAGUAACAUGUGGGUAUCUACCCUUUGGCCUGGAAUAACACGAGGAAACUUGUGCUAAUACCGGAUAAGUCUUUACGGAGAAAGCUUUAUGCACCAUUGGAUGAGCCCGCACUUGAUUAGUUUGUUGGUAGGGUAAUGGCCUACCAAGACUAUGAUCAAUAGCUGAUUUGAGAGGAUGAUCAGCCACAUUGGGACUGAGACACGGCCCAAACUCCUACGGGAGGCAGCAGUGGGGAAUCUUGCACAAUGGAGGAAACUCUGAUGCAGCGAUGCCGCGUGAGUGAAGAAGGCCUUUGGGUUGUAAAGCUCUUUCGUCGGGGAAGAAAGUGACUGUACCCGAAUAAGAAGGUCCGGCUAACUUCGUGCCAGCAGCCGCGGUAAUACGAAGGGACCUAGCGUAGUUCGGAAUUACUGGGCUUAAAGAGUUCGUAGGUGGUUGAAAAAGUUGGUGGUGAAAUCCCAGAGCUUAACUCUGGAACUGCCAUCAAAACUUUUCAGCUAGAGUAUGAUA